rnacentral:rRNA from 1 species
AGUGAACGCUGGCGGCGUGCUUAACACAUGCAAGUCGAACGAGAACGGGUUAUAGCUUGCUAUAAUUGUCAGCUAAGUGGCGCACGGGUGAGUAAUGUAUAGGUAAUAUGCCUCUUACUAAGGGAUAACAAAUGGAAACGUUUGCUAAUACCUUAUACUCCUUAUUAACAUAAGUUAAUAAGGGAAAGAUUUAUUGGUAAGAGAUUAGCCUGUAUUGUAUCAGUUAGUUGGUGGGGUAAUGGCUUACCAAGACUAUGACACAUAACUGGUUUGAGAGGAUGAUCAGUCACACUGGAACUGAGACACGGUCCAGACUCCUACGGGAGGCAGCAGUGGGGUAUAUUGCACAAUGGACGAAAGUCUGAUGCAGCAACGCCGCGUGGAGGAUGACACAUUUCGGUGCGUAAACUCCCUUUAUAUGAGAAGAUAAUGAUGGUAUUAUAUGAAUAAGCACCGGCUAACUCCGUGCCAGCAGCCGCCGUAA